rnacentral:rRNA from 1 species
AUGCAGGAGGAGUACAGGGCACUGAUGAGCAACCGAACGUGGGAGCUAGUUCCGCGGCCGCCCGGCGCGAACAUCGUCAGCGGCAAAUGGUUGUUUCGGCACAAGCUCCGCGCCGACGGCAGUCUAGAGCGCUACAAAGCGCGCUGGGUCGUGCGUGGCUUCUCGCAACGCCCCGGCGUCGACUUCUCGGAGACCUUCAGCCCGGUGGUGAAGUCCGCCACGGUGCGCGCCGUCCUCGCCAUCGCCGCCUCCCGCGAUUGGCCCGUACAUCAAAUGGACGUCAACAACGCCUUCUUGCAAGGGCACUUGCGCGAGCGUGUCUACUGCCAGCAGCCUGUGGGUUUCGUCGACGACAGCCGCCCCGAGCAUGUCUGCCUGCUCGACAAAUCCUUGUACGGCCUCAAGCAGGCGCCGCGUGCCUGGUACGAGCGGUUC